AUGGCGGAGGACUACGAGUACCCCCCGGCGCGGACGCUGCCGGAGACGCCGUCCUGGGCGGUGGCGCUCGUCUUCGCCGUCAUGAUCAUCGUGUCCGUCCUCCUGGAGCACGCGCUCCACAAGCUCGGCCAUUGGUUCCACAAGCGGCACAAGAACGCGCUGGCGGAGGCGCUGGAGAAGAUCAAAGCGGAGCUGAUGCUGGUGGGGUUCAUCUCGCUGCUGCUCGCCGUGACGCAGGACCCAAUCUCCGGGAUAUGCAUCUCCGAGAAGGCCGCCAGCAUCAUGCGGCCCUGCAGCCUGCCCCCUGGUUCCGUCAAGAGCAAGUACAAAGACUACUACUGCGCCAAAAAGGGCAAGGUGUCGCUAAUGUCCACGGGCAGCUUGCACCAGCUCCACAUAUUCAUCUUCGUGCUCGCCGUCUUCCAUGUCACCUACAGCGUCAUCAUCAUGGCUCUAAGCCGUCUCAAAAUGAGGACAUGGAAGAAAUGGGAGACAGAGACCGCCUCCUUGGAAUACCAGUUCGCAAAUGAUCCUGCGCGGUUCCGCUUCACGCACCAGACGUCGUUCGUGAAGCGUCACCUGGGCCUCUCCAGCACCCCCGGCAUCAGAUGGGUGGUGGCCUUCUUCAGGCAGUUCUUCAGGUCGGUCACCAAGGUGGACUACCUCACCCUGAGGGCAGGCUUCAUCAACGCGCAUUUGUCGCAUAACAGCAAGUUCGACUUCCACAAGUACAUCAAGAGGUCCAUGGAGGACGACUUCAAAGUCGUCGUUGGCAUCAGCCUCCCGCUGUGGUGUGUGGCGAUCCUCACCCUCUUCCUUGAUAUUGACGGGAUCGGCACGCUCACCUGGAUUUCUUUCAUCCCUCUCGUCAUCCUCUUGUGUGUUGGAACCAAGCUGGAGAUGAUCAUCAUGGAGAUGGCCCUGGAGAUCCAGGACCGGGCGAGCGUCAUCAAGGGGGCGCCCGUGGUUGAGCCCAGCAACAAGUUCUUCUGGUUCCACCGCCCCGACUGGGUCCUCUUCUUCAUACACCUGACGCUGUUCCAGAAUGCGUUUCAGAUGGCACAUUUCGUCUGGACAGUGGCCACGCCCGGCUUGAAGAAAUGCUUCCAUAUGCACAUCGGUCUGAGCAUCAUGAAGGUCGUGCUGGGGCUGGCUCUUCAGUUCCUCUGCAGCUAUAUCACCUUCCCCCUCUACGCGCUCGUCACACAGAUGGGAUCGAACAUGAAGAGGUCCAUCUUCGACGAGCAGACGGCCAAGGCGCUGACCAACUGGCGGAACACGGCCAAGGAGAAGAAGAAGGUCCGAGACACGGACAUGCUGAUGGCGCAGAUGAUCGGCGACGCGACGCCCAGCCGAGGCACGUCGCCGAUGCCUAGCCGGGCUUCGUCACCGGUGCACCUGCUUCACAAGGGCAUGGGACGGUCCGACGAUCCCCAGAGCGCGCCGACCUCGCCAAGGACCAUGGAGGAGGCUAGGGACAUGUACCCGGUUGUGGUGGCGCAUCCCGUGCACAGACUAAAUCCUGCUGACAGGCGGAGGUCGGUCUCUUCGUCGGCACUCGAUGCCGACAUCCCCAGCGCAGAUUUUUCCUUCAGCCAGGGAUGA
rnacentral:rRNA from 1 species